UGGCGGGUUGUUCCUGUCGGCGUCGUAAUAGUGAUUGACAUCCUAAGCGACCAAUCUCGGUGCCUUAUUGAGGCCUCCGGGCAACCAUUUUGUUCUUACCUAAACACCUCGGCUGUUUCUCAAUUCCAAGAACGCAAAGAACGGACUUGCGUCCUCGUGGAGAUCGGUCUUGCCAGGCGACCUUGGAAGAACGAACUCGGAUGUUUUGCCGCAAUGACUUCUGGGGCGUAAAGCGAUUUCAGCAAGUCUGCACUCGAUGCAUCCUCGAUAUCAAGAACACAUCCGGGUAUUUUCAUGCGUCCUCUGUCCUUGCGUUCUUGAGAAUUGGAAUGAACUUCGACCGUUAAUGAUGACGUAGAGCGAGGACACGAGGACGCAAGAUCGCUGAAGAACGCAUAUUGAGAAACAGCCAACCUUCAAUUCCGCACUUUCGUGACGUAAUGCCUCUUUGACAGGUGUCGAAGUCUGCUGCCUGCGAAGCUUGCGCAAAUGCGGGCUCAGGAAAAUGGAUAUGAAUGGCACAUAUCGAAAAUAUGCCCAUGAGCACCCUUUUGAAACCAAGUUCAUAAGGGUGUCAUAUACAAGGGUCAAAACACACAAAACGUAAAUGCGUUUACUAGUAAUAAAAAAAGCUAAAUUUUGACUUUAAAAUUCAUAAAAGUUGUAUUCAUCUCUGAAGAAAUCUAUUGGGGAAAAAAGUAUCAUAAGCGCGUGUUUACAUAACCUAGUUUAAAGCAAUAUUAAAGGCGUUUAGUAACAAGGUCACCCACAUAAUAUCCCACCAUGUUACUAAUUGCAGAUACCAUAUUUAAAAGCUUUUGGGGGCUUCUACGAAGAGUAUGGAGGUUCCUGCCCUGCAGCAGACCUGAGAAUGAAAUAAAACUUUCAGAGGAAGAAUCAUCACCGUUGUACCCUGACCAGAGCUCUGUCCGUCCAUGGCUUGAUGAUUAUGGAGAAGAUAAUGGCUACAUCGAUUUAACUGAGAGACAUUAAUUCUGACAAUACAUUAUUGAUAAAAUGAUGACCAACCAAGCUGCAGAAUUGUUUGAUUUAAAAUCAGGAUGCAAGUCUUGACUUUUGGAAAAGAAGCGUAUGACAAUUUAAAGUGACAGCUGACAUUAAUCAGGAAAUUUAAAGUCAGUUACUGUAUACAUUGUUUUAUACAUUCAGUUUUGGUAAACAUAAUGUGACAUCCAGGUACCGUAUACUGAAAAUGAUGCACUUAAAUGGUACACAGUUGUUUACUUUGCACUAUGUAUUCAUACUACUGGCACAGUGUUUUGUACUGCCGAUGUCUUUGAUAGCAGCUAAAAAAACUUUAUCAGAGGUUAUUAGGGGUCAAGGCCAGAAUUCCACUAAAACAAAUUGUGCUAAAUAGCACUAAAAGUGGUUUUUGGCUCGUUAUCAUAGAGGAAGCAUUUUUAGCACCUAUGAAGAACCAUACGGGGGUCAAAUAGAACUACUGUAGCAAAACAUAUGGUUUUACAUAGCACAAUAUGGUUCUACACAAGUGCUACACAGGUACUUCAUCGGUGCUGUAUGGCACUUAAAAGGGUUCCUCUAUGAUUACGAGCCAAGAACUACUUUUAGUGCUAUUAAGCACCGUUUGUUUUUAGAGACACCCCGGACAAAAAGUUAUCAAAAGCUUUUUGAUAAAACAAUCCGUUCUCUUAUACCGUGAAAAUGUUCAAAGGCAAGCAUGCCAAAAUGGACGUGAGACAGACUGUAUCUGCCCAAAACAGAUACAGUCAUGACCUAAGGGUUUUGUCACAGUGCCACCUCAUCAUGGAUGAUUCCUUUCAUGGCUUGAAGUAUAUUCAAUAGUGGAAUUGCUGCUUGCAGCUAUUUUGUUUUUCUUAAUAUUAUUCAAUCUUAGUACCUCCACUGAUACACUUGAACAUGUCUGUGGUGACUGAGAAUGACAUUUAAGACAUCCUGAACAACACUUUAUUUCUUAUGCUGCUUAAAGACUGCAACUGUGCCUUUGUCUGAAAAUAUUUUAAAUGUGUUUUUAUAUCUCGUGUGAUGUUUAAUGUUGAAAGCAUGUGGUUUCUGAUCUUAUUGGCUUCCAACACAUUCAAAGUGUUCCUAAUCUGCUAAGCAACUACCUAUCAGUUUAAAGAUUAAGAGUACUCAAAACUUAUUGGUGCUCUUUGAAAUAUGUAUUGUUUGUUCUGAAUAUUUAUAUAUUGUAUAUGUACCUGUCUGUCACCUUUUUAAACUGUACUUUGUAAACUUUGUAAGAAAACAAAAGUAGUUUAAUGUUUU